rnacentral:rRNA from 1 species
AUUGAACGCUGGCGGCAUGCCUUACACAUGCAAGUCGAACGGUAACAGGUCUUCGGAUGCUGACGAGUGGCGAACGGGUGAGUAAUACAUCGGAACGUGCCCGAUCGUGGGGGAUAACGCAGCGAAAGCUGUGCUAAUACCGCAUACGAUCUACGGAAGAAAGCGGGGGAUCGCAAGACCCCGUGCAGCCGGAGCGGCGAGUGGCAGAUUAGGUAGUUGGUGGGGUAAAGGCUCACCACGCCUGCGAUCUGUAACUGGUAUGAGAGGACGACCAGCCACACUGGGACUGAGACACGGCCCAGACUCCUACGGGAGGCAGCAGUGGGGGAUUUUGGACAAUGGGCGCAAGCCUGAUCCAGCCAUGCCGCGUGCAGGAUGAAGGCCUUCGGGUUGUAAACUGCUUUUGUACGGAACGAAAAGGUUCUUUCUAAUAAAGAGAGCUCAUGACGGUACCGUAAGAAUAAGCACCGGCUAACUACGUGCCAGCCGCCGCAGUAAAAC